GAUGAACGCUGGCGGCAGGCCUAAUACAUGCAAGCCAAGGGCUGUUUGGUGUAGCAUUCCAUCCAACAACCGGCGGCGGGGUGCGUAACGCGUAUGCGAUCUACCCCCUACAGGAGGGUAGUCCCCGGAAACGAGGAUUACUACUCCAUAAGAUUGCUUAGAGGCCUCUUUAACCAUUUACAGCCGCAAGGUGGUUUAGGCUGGGCGUUCGUUCGAUUAGCUAGUGGGUGAGGUAACGGGUCACUAAGUCGAUGAUCGGUAGGGGUUCUGAGAGGUAGAACCCCCACACGGGCACAGGGACACGGCCCCGACGCCUACGAGAGGCAGCGAGAAGGAAGAUUGGACAAUAGGUGGAAGCCUGAACCAGCCAUGCCGCGUGCAGGAAGAAGGCACUAUGGGAUGUAAUCUGCUUUGGAGAGGGAGAGAGAAGGGCGAUGCGUCGCUCGAUGAGAGUACUACUCAAAUAAGCAUCGGCAAACUUCGG
rnacentral:rRNA from 1 species